GACGAACCGAGCGAACGUUGUUCGGAAUCACUGGGCUUAAAGGGCGCGUAGGCGGGUGCUCAAGUCCGGGGUGAAAUCCUCCAGCUCAACUGGAGAACUGCCUCGGAUACUGGGUGCCUCGAGGGUGGUAGGGGGUAUGCGGAACUAUCGGUGGAGCGGUGAAAUGCGUUGAUAUCGAUAGGAACUCCGGUGGCGAAGGCGGCAUACUGGACCACUUCUGACGCUGAGGCGCGAAAAGCCAGGGGGAGCAAACAGG
rnacentral:rRNA from 1 species